rnacentral:rRNA from 1 species
GUGGGGAAUUUUGGACAAUGGGCGCAAGCCUGAUCCAGCAAUGCCGCGUGCAGGAAGAAGGCCUUCGGGUUGUAAACUGCUUUUGUACGGAACGAAACGGUCCGGGUUAAUACCCUGGGCUAAUGACGGUACCGUAAGAAUAAGCACCGGCUAACUACGUGCCAGCAGCCGCGGUAAUACGUAGGGUGCAAGCGUUAAUCGGAAUUACUGGGCGUAAAGCGUGCGCAGGCGGUUUUGUAAGACAGGCGUGAAAUCCCCGGGCUCAACCUGGGAAUUGCGAUUGUGACUGCAGUGCUGGAGUGCGGCAGAGGGGGAUGGAAUUCCGCGUGUAGCAGUGAAAUGCGUAGAUAUGCGGAGGAACACCGAUGGCGAAGGCAAUCCCCUGGGCCUGCACUGACGCUCAUGCACGAAAGCGUGGGGAGCAAACAGGAUUAGAAACCCCGGUAGUCC